UACGGAGGGUGCGAGCGUUAAUCGGAAUAACUGGGUGUAAAGGGCACGCAGGCGGGCUUUUAAGUGAGAUGUGAAAUCCCCGGGCUUAACCUGGGAAUUGCAUUUGAUACUGGGAGACUUGAGUACUUUAGGGAGGGGUAGAAUUCCACGUGUAGCGGUGAAAUGCGUAGAGAUGUGGAGGAAUACCGAAGGCGAAGGCAGCCCCUUGGGAAUGUACUGACGCUCAUGUGCGAAAGCGUGGGGAGCAAACAGG
rnacentral:rRNA from 1 species